rnacentral:rRNA from 1 species
ACGGAAGGCAGCAGUGGGGAAUAUUGGGCAAUGGGCGGGAGCCUGACCCAGCAACGCCGCGUGAAGGAAGAAGGCUUUCGGGUUGUAAACUUCUUUGACAGGGGAAGAGCAGAAGACGGUACCCUGAAAACAAGCCACGGCUAACUACGUGCCAGCAGCCGCGGUAAUACGUAGGUGGCAAGCGUUGUCCGGAUUUACUGGGUGUAAAGGGCGUGUAGGCGGGUCGAUAAGUCAGAUGUGAAAUCCACGGGCUCAACUUGUGAACUGCAUUUGAAACUGUUGAUCUUGAGUAUCGGAGAGGUAAUCGGAAUUCCUUGUGUAGCGGUGAAAUGCGUAGAUAUAAGGAAGAACACCAGUGGCGAAGGCGGAUUACUGGACGACAACUGACGGUGAGGCGCGAAAGCGUGGGGAGCGAACAGGAUUAGAUACCCUGGUA